rnacentral:rRNA from 1 species
GUGAACGCUGGCGGCGUGCCUAAUACAUGCAAGUCGAACGGAGAUUAAGUAGCUUGCUAUUUAAUCUUAGUGGCGCACGGGUGAGUAAUAUAUAGCUAACUUGCCCAUUACUAAGGGACAACAGUUGGAAACGACUGCUAAUACCUUAUACUCCGUAUCUAUAUAAGUAGAUACGGGAAAGUUUUUCGGUAAUGGAUAGGGCUAUAUCGUAUCAGCUAGUUGGUAAGGUAAUGGCUUACCAAGGCUAUGACGCGUAACUGGUCUGAGAGGAUGAUCAGUCACACUGGAACUGAGACACGGUCCAGACUCCUACGGGAGGCAGCAGUAGGGAAUAUUGCUCAAUGGGGGAAACCCUGAAGCAGCAACGCCGCGUGGAGGAUGACACUUUUCGGAGCGUAAACUCCUUUUCUUGGGAAAGAAUUAUGACGGUACCCAAGGAAUAAGCACCGGCUAACUCCGUG